rnacentral:lncRNA from 1 species
AUGUCCCACACCAAGGAUGGUUCCAGGUCACCAUCGUCAUGGAUCAGUGAUUCCAGCCCAUCAGGCAUCAUAUCCGGGUCCACCAGUUCCCAAUGCGAGUCCUGCUGUGGUGGGGAGGAGUUCGAGGGAAGUGACCAAACCAGCCAGGCCCUUACCUCCUUAAAUGACAGGGGCCCCAGCCCAGACCAGGGGGUUCCAGUGAAGGAGGAGCCUGGUUGCCCUGAUCGGGGGGAGCGAGGCUGGCCUUCCACUGGGGGCAGGAGAAGGCCCGGGAUGCUGGAGUGCAUAAUGAGGGAGAAGGAGCGAAAAAGGGAGGAGAGAAAGACAAAGGUGCUAAACAUCUACUCCAGACUCCAGGACAGCGGGCCCCUCCAGCCCAGCCGCAACAGGGGCCGCUCCAGGUUUGAGGACUUCGACUUCUUGGCAAAGUAUUGCAUUUUCAGCCAGGAGAAGCUGGCAGAAUACAAAAGGGCUUUUGAAGCGGUAAGUGAAAGGGGAUUUAAACCCUCUCUGUUCACACUAUGCCUCAGAUACACUCCCUCUUCCUUCCUCGUUUUCUGUCGCUCUCUUUCUCUAGUUCUUACUCUCUCCUUUUCACUCUUCCUGUCUCUCUCUUUCUCUCAUUGUUACUCUCCCUCCUUUUCACUCUUCCUGUCUCGUGAUUCUAACUUUGCUUACAUGAAGAUGUUGUUGUUGAUUAUGAUAAUGUUGAUGAUGAUCCCUUCAGGUUGUCAUCGAUGCUGA